AGAUACUUAGUCCAAAUACUCCAAGACUAUUGAUUUCGGCUCAAUAAAUUAUGGUGAAACCCCAUAAGUAUCUU
rnacentral:tRNA from 1 species